AUUGAACGCUGGCGGCAUGCCUUACACAUGCAAGUCGAACGGCAGCACGAGUGCUUGCCUCUGGUGGCGAGUGGCGCACGGGUGAGAAUAACAUCGGGACAAGUCCUCUAGUGGGGGGUGGCAAGGCGGAAGCAGGGGUACUAACGCCUACGAUUAUCUGGAGCCAGAGGGGGCCCUAGGGGAAUCGGGCUUUGGGGUCGGCUGAAGGCUGAUUAGCGAGUUGGUGGGGUAAAGGCAUACCAAGGCGACGAUGAGUAGCUGGUCUGAGAGGAAGACCGGCCACACUGGGACUGAGACACGGCCCAGACUCCUACGGGAGGCAGCAGUGGGGAAUUUUGGACAAUGGGCGAAAGCCUGAUCCAGCAAUGCCGCGUGUGUGAAGAAGGCCUUCGGGUUGUAAAGCACUUUUGUCCGGAAAGAAAUACUUUGCCCUAAUACGGUCGGGGGAUGACGGUACCGGAAGAAUAAGCACCGGCUAACUACGUG
rnacentral:rRNA from 1 species